UACGGGGGGGGCAAGCGUUGUUCGGAAUUACUGGGCGUAAAGGGCGCGUAGGUGGCCAACUAAGUCGGACGUGAAAUCCCUCAGCUUAACUGGGGAACUGCGUCCGAUACUGGAUGGCUCGAGUUUGGGAGAGGGAUGCGGAAUUCCAGGUGUAGCGGUGAAAUGCGUAGAUAUCUGGAGGAACACCGGUGGCGAAGGCGGCAUCCUGGACCAACACUGACACUGAGGAGCGAAAGCCAGGGGAGCAAACGGG
rnacentral:rRNA from 1 species